rnacentral:lncRNA from 1 species
CCGCGACGACGGCCUUCGAGAUCCGAUGCUGGUCAUGCUACGAGCUUCUGAUGUGAUCGCUUUUAAGGAUAACGAAGAACAACGUGCAUUAAUGAGCACAUGGGUUCAAUGAAAACCGGUGUUCCUCGAGCCUGGAAUACUUUGUUACGUUUGUUCGGAUAGCACACCCGGCACUUCUACACAAAGCUGUAACCAAUUCAAUCGGGAAACCAUGGUAAACUUGAAUGAUUUUUUUGAAGUAAGAGAAGGAAGUGUUUUGAUUCAUUUAGAACGUGUAAUUUGAACGAAUUGAAAAGAUUCUGUUGCAGUAGACACAUCCCCUUGCAAGCUCAUCAUGUUUUCAGAGUAACGUAACAUGAUUUGAUUUUCAAACUCACGUUUUGUGGCAAUUUCAUUAAGUUGUUUUUAAGAAAAUUUUGAGUUAUGGCAUGUGGAGUGUAAAGGUGCAAAGAUAAAAUAAUCAUUUGUUAGUUCGUAGUUUUGAUUAACCAAAUCCAUUCUGUAAAGAUUUUAUUUUAAAUUUGAUCCACUUAAAUAAACGGAUUAUAACUAAAGAGAUAUAUUUGUGGUUGUACCGGAAUUGCAGAAUGAAGUAAUUUCUUCAACCUAGCAUAUGAUUUGAAACACUGAUUUGAACUACUACAAAGAAUUUGAUUACAUUGUGCGUAUGAAUGUUCAACAAUGCACACCAUCUGUAAUAUCGUUAUCACAUGCACACCAUUAGUGAUGACAAUUUGAGGGUAGUAUUAAAUCUAUCCACCUAAAUCUUAAAUCAACUCAUUGUUACUAAAAAUACAAAUCUUACCUCCACCAAAACAGCCAUUAAUCAUUUUGUACAAAUCAUGGAUAAGGCAUCUACAAUUCUAUCUAUUGAAAUCUUAUGCAAU